UACGGAGGGGGCUAGCGUUGUUCGGAAUUACUGGGCGUAAAGCGCACGUAGGCGGCUUUGUAAGUUAGAGGUGAAAGCCUGGUGCUCAACACCAGAAUUGCCUUUAAGACUGCAUCGCUUGAACGUCGGAGAGGUGAGUGGAAUUCCGAGUGAUAGAGGUGAAAUUCGUAGAUAUUCGGAAGAACACCAGGUGGCGAAAGGCGGCAUCCUGGGACCGGAACUUGAUCG
rnacentral:rRNA from 1 species